AUUGAACGCUGGCGGCAGGCCUAACACAUGCAAGUCGAACGAGAGGCGGACGGGUGAGUAAUGUCUGGGAAACUGCCUGAUGGAGGGGGAUAACUACGGGAAACGGUAGCUAAUACCGCAUACCAUCGGAUGUGCCCAGAUGGGAUGAGCGAGUAGGUGGGGUAACGGCUCACCUAGGCGACGAUCCCUAGCUGGUCUGAGAGGAUGACCAGCCACACUGGAACUGAGACACGGUCCAGACUCCUACGGGAGGCAGCAGUGGGGAAUAUUGCACAAUGGGCGCAAGCCUGAUGCAGCCAUGCCGCGUGUAUGAAGAAGGCCUUCGGGUUGUAAAGUACUGUCAGCGGGGAGGCGUUACUCGCAGAAGAAGCACCGGCUAACUCCGUGCCAGCAGCCGCGGUAAUUC
rnacentral:rRNA from 1 species